ensembl:lncRNA
GGGAGAAUGGUGAGUGGGUGGCUCUUGCCAUUUUUAACAUUGGUCAGGGGGCAUUUACCACUGGCCAUGCCAAAGCUUGUAAGAAAGAGUGUUAUCAGCACUUUUUCAGCAGCAGCAAUUUUUCCUACUUGGGUGAAGAAUUUUGUACUCGGCAUCCAAAGUGUUCACGAGAGACACAUCCAGGAAAAACGACUUGUGACAGCCAUAUUAUUAAUUUGCUUUUCUGGCCUUUGACUCAACCGCUGUGUCCCAUCCUGUAUCCCAAAUUCACCAAGAAAAUUGAAGAGUGGUGCGCAUACUGUAUAUCAUUGUCUCACCCUUAUGUUGUUUUGUUUUGUAUCAUCCAGGUGGCUGUAGGAACACGACAAAAAGAAAUGUCGCUUGCAAACUCUUUCUUGCUGAGAAAAAUGUUUCGGAGGCGUUAUGUCCCUAAGGUGGAAGAGCUGAGGGCCCUUCGUCAAAUGAGGCAGCAGGCUUUUGCUGAGGUCCUGGCAAGAGCAAUGGAACGUGAAGUCCCUAAGGAGGAAACGCUGCAGGAACUUCCUGAAAGGAGACAGCAGGCUGUUGCUGAGGUUGCCGCAGGAGUACAGGAGAAAGAUGUCCCUAAGGAAGAAAAGCUGCGUGCCCUUCCUGAAAGGAAGCAGAAGGCUGUGGCUGAGGUGGCCGUAGGAGCACGGGAGAAAGGUGUCCCUAAGGAGGAAAAGCGGCGGCCCCUUCCUCUAAGGGCGCAGAAGGCUGUGGCUGAGGUCAUCAAAAGAGCAAUGAAAUAUGGUGUCACUGCGGAGAAAAAGCUGCAGUCCGUUAGAGUAAGGAGGCAAAAGACUGUUGCAGAGGUGGCCAUAGGAGCACGAGAAGAAGGUGUCCCUCAGGAGGAAAAUGUGUGGGCCGUUCCUGUCAGGAGACACCAAGGUGUUGCUGAGGUUGCCGCGGGAGAAACAGAAUAUGGUGUCCCUGAGGAGGAAAAGAUGUGGGCCGUUCCUGUCAGGAGACACCAAGGUGUUGCUGAGGUUGCCGCGGGAGAAACAGAAUAUGGUGUCCCUGAGGAGGAAAAGAUGUGGGCCGUUCCUGUCAGGAGGCAGCAGGAUGUUGCUGAGGUGGCCGCGGGAGCAACGAAAUACGGUGUCCCUGUGGAGGAAAAGAUGUGGGCUUUUCCUGUAAGGACACACCAGGCUGUUGGUGAGUUUCCUGUGGUCUCUGGAACCAUGGAGAAUGAUUGGGUGUUGGAGAGCCUGUCUGACUCUGGAACCGAUGAUGAAUAGUCAUCAGAUAGGGAACUGCACUCAGGUAGGAAUCAAUGGGAGAGGGUUUCUGGGAACAGCUGGCUUAUACCUGCUGCUUUGUAGACUUAGAGUGGGAGGUAUGAAAUCAGAAAGACAAAGCAAGGAUGUGCGAAGCCUUGUGUUGUUCUUUUAAUAUAAUAGCAGCGUCUUUUAAUAGAAUAGAUGUGUUCUCCCUCUGGGCUUUGAAUGUACUCUGUCUGUAACCAGCUUUUUAAAGUUUGUUUUUUUUUUAACCAAGUUGGUUAACAUAUAGUGUAAUAAUGGUUUCAGUAAUAGAAUUUAGUGAUUUAUCACUUCCAUAGAACACCCAGUGGUCAUCCGCACCAAGUGCCCUCCCUAAUGCUCAUCACCUAUUUAGUACAUCCCUCUACCCAACACCCUUCCAACAACUCUCAGUGUGUGAAGAGUUAAUCAGUCACUUAUGGACUGUCUCCAUCUCUGUUUUUACCUUAUUUUUCCUUCCAUUCUCCUAUGUUCAUCUGUUUUGUUAGAUUCCACACAUGAGUGAAAUCAUAUGAUAUUUGUCUUUCUCUGACUGACUUAAUUUGCUUACCAUAACACAUUCUAGUUGCAUCCACGUUGUUGCAAAAGGCAAGAUUUCAUUCUUUUGGAUCAUGGAAUGAUAUUCUAUUCUAUGUAGAUAGAUAGAUAGAUAGAUAGAUAGAUAGAUAUAGAUAGAUAGAGAUAUAAAAAUAGGUAUCUAUAUACAGACAGAUAUAUGUAUCUAUAUAUUCCUUAUCCAUUCAUCAGUCACUGGACACCUUGGCUCCUUCCAUAAUUUGGCUAUUAUUGACAGUGCCAUUAUAAACACUGGGGUGCAUGUGCCCCUUUGAGUCAGCACUCCUGUAUCCUUUGGAUAAAUAUCUAAUCAUGCAAUUGCUAGGACGUAGGGUAGCUCUCUUUUUACUUUUUUUGCAGACCUCCAUACUAUUUUCCGGAGUGGCUGCACUAGUUUGCAUUCCCACCAACAGGGCAAAAG